rnacentral:rRNA from 1 species
AUGAACGCUAGCUACAGGCUUAACACAUGCAAGUCGAGGGGCAGCAUUUUAGUUUGCUUGCAAACUGAAGAUGGCGACCGGCGCACGGGUGAGUAACACGUAUCCAACCUGCCGAUAACUCCGGAAUAGCCUUUCGAAAGAAAGAUUAAUACCGGAUAGCAUACGAAUAUCGCAUGAUAUUUUUAUUAAAGAAUUUCGGUUAUCGAUGGGGAUGCGUUCCAUUAGUUUGUUGGCGGGGUAACGGCCCACCAAGACUACGAUGGAUAGGGGUUCUGAGAGGAAGGUCCCCCACAUUGGAACUGAGACACGGUCCAAACUCCUACGGGAGGCAGCAGUGAGGAAUAUUGGUCAAUGGGCGAGAGCCUGAACCAGCCAAGUAGCGUGAAGGAUGAAGGCUCUAUGGGUCGUAAACUUCUUUUAUAUGGGAAUAAAGUUUUCCACGUGUGGAAUUUUGUAUGUACCAUAUGAAUAAGGAUCGGCUAACUCCGUGCCAGCAGCCGCGGUAAUACGGAGGAUCCGAGCGUUAUCCGGAUUUAUUGGGUUUAAAGGGAGCGUAGGUGGAUUGUUAAGUCAGUUGUGAAAGUUUGCGGCUCAACCGUAAAAUUGCAGUUGAAACUGGCAGUCUUGAGUACAGUAGAGGUGGGCGGAAUUCGUGGUGUAGCGGUGAAAUGCUUAGAUAUCACGAAGAACUCCGAUUGCGAAGGCAGCUCACUAGACUGUCACUGACACUGAUGCUCGAAAGUGUGGGUAUCAAACAGGAUUAGAUACCCUGGUAGUCCACACAGUAAACGAUGAAUACUCGCUGUUUGCGAUAUACAGUAAGCGGCCAAGCGAAAGCAUUAAGUAUUCCACCUGGGGAGUACGCCGGCAACGGUGAAACUCAAAGGAAUUGACGGGGGCCCGCACAAGCGGAGGAACAUGUGGUUUAAUUCGAUGAUACGCGAGGAACCUUACCCGGACUUAAAUUGCAACAGAAUAUAUUGGAAACAGUAUAGCCGUAAGGCUGUUGUGAAGGUGCUGCAUGGUUGUCGUCAGCUCGUGCCGUGAGGUGUCGGCUUAAGUGCCAUAACGAGCGCAACCCUUAUCUUUAGUUACUAACAGGUCAUGCUGAGGACUCUAGAGAGACUGCCGUCGUAAGAUGUGAGGAAGGUGGGGAUGACGUCAAAUCAGCACGGCCCUUACGUCCGGGGCUACACACGUGUUACAAUGGGGGGUACAGAAGGCGGCUACCUGGUGACAGGAUGCUAAUCCCAAAAACCUCUCUCAGUUCGGAUCGAAGUCUGCAACCCGACUUCGUGAAGCUGGAUUCGCUAGUAAUCGCGCAUCAGCCAUGGCGCGGUGAAUACGUUCCCGGGCCUUGUACACACCGCCCGUCAAGCCAUGAAAGCCGGGGGUACCUGAAGUACGUAACCGCAAGGAGCGUCCUAGGGUAAAACUGGUAAUUGGGGCU